CGCGGCCUAUCAGCUUGUUGGUGAGGUAACGGCUCACCAAGGCGAUGACGGGUAGCUGGCGUGAGAGCGUGGCCAGCCACACUGGGACUGAGACACGGCCCAGACUCCUACGGGAGGCAGCAGUGGGGAAUCUUGCGCAAUGGGGGCAACCCUGACGCAGCGACGCCGCGUGCGGGAUGAAGGCCUUCGGGUUGUAAACCGCUUUCAGCAGGGACGAAGCGAAAGUGACGGUACCUGCAGAAGAAGCCCCGGCCAACUACGUGCCAGCAGCCGCGGUAAGACGUAGGGGGCGAGCGUUGUCCGGAUUUAUUGGGCGUAAAGCGCGCGCAGGCGGCCCGGUAAGUCGGAUGUGAAAACCUGCGGCUCAACCGCAGGCUGUCAUUCGAUACUGUCGGGCUUGAGGCAGGUAGGGGAGAGUGGAAUUCCCGGUGUAGCGGUGAAAUGCGCAGAUAUCGGGAGGAACACCGGUGGCGAAGGCGGCUCUCUGGGCCUGUCCUGACGCUCAGGCGCGAAAGCUGGGGGAGCGAACAGGAUUAGAUACCCUGGUAGUCCCAGCCGUAAACGAUGGGUGCUAGGUGUGGGGAGCAUCAACCCUCUCCGUGCCGGAGCUAACGCAUUAAGCACCCCGCCUGGGGAGUACGG
rnacentral:rRNA from 1 species